rnacentral:rRNA from 1 species
GCGAGAAAACUUUGCAAUGUGCGAAAGCACGACAAGGUUAAUCCGAGUGGUUUCUGCUAAAGGAACCUUUUGUCAGUCCUAGAAACACUGAUGAAUAAGGGGUGGGCAAGUUCUGGUGUCAGCCGCCGCGGUAAAACCAGCACCUCAAGUGGUCAGGAUGAUUAUUGGGCCUAAAGCAUCCGUAGCCGGCUCUGUAAGUUUUCGGUUAAAUCUGUACGCUCAACGUACAGGCUGCCGGGAAUACUGCAAAGCUAGGGAGUGGGAGAGGUAGACGGUACUCGGUAGGAAGGGGUAAAAUCCCUUGAUCUAUUGAUGACCACCUGUGGCGAAGGCGGUCUACCAGAACACGUCCGACGGUGAGGGAUGAAAGCUGGGGGAGCAAACCGGAUUAGAUACCCGGGUAGUCCCAGCUGUAAACCAUGCAAACUCAGUGAUGCAUUGGCUUGUGGCCAAUGCAGUGCUGCAGGGAAGCCGUUAAGUUUGCCGCCUGGGAAGUACGUACGCAAGUAUGAAACUUAA